GAAAUGCGAUAAGUAAUGUGAAUUGCAGAAUUCAGUGAAUCAUCGAAUCUUUGAACGCACAUUGCGCCCGCCAGUAUUCUGGCGGGCAUGCCUGUUCGAGCAUCAUUUCAACCAUCAAGCCCCGCGCUUGUGUUGGGGACCUGCGGCUGCCGCAGGCCCUGAAAACCAGUGGCGGGCUCGCUGUCACACCGGGCGUAGUAGAUUUUAUCUCGCUCAGGGCGUGCUGCGGGUUCCGGCCGUUAAAAAGCCUUUUUUACCCAAGGUUGACCUCGGAUCAGGUAGGAAGACCCGCUGAACUUAAGC
rnacentral:misc_RNA from 1 species